GAUGAACGCUGGCGGCGUGCCUAAUACAUGCAAGUCGAGCGAACGGACGAGAAGCUUGCUUCUCUGAUGUUAGCGGCGGACGGGUGAGUAACACGUGGAUAACCUACCUAUAAGACUGGGAUAACUUCGGGAAACCGGAGCUAAUACCGGAUGAUAUUUUGAACCGCAUGGUUCAAAAGUGAAAGACGGUCUUGCUGUCACUUAUAGAUGGAUCCGCGCUGCAUUAGCUAGUUGGUAAGGUAACGGCUUACCAAGGCAACGAUGCAUAGCCGACCUGAGAGGGUGAUCGGCCACCCUGGAACUGAGACACGGUCCAGACUCCUACGGGAGGCAGCAGUAGGGAAUCUUCCGCAAUGGGCGAAAGCCUGACGGAGCAACGCCGCGUGAGUGAUGAAGGUCUUCGGAUCGUAAAACUCUGUUAUUAGGGAAGAACAUAUGUGUAAGUAACUGUGCACAUCUUGACGGUACCUAAUCAGAAAGCUACGGCUAACUACGUG
rnacentral:rRNA from 1 species